GAUCCUGGCUCAGGAUGGACGCUAGCUACAGGCUUAACACAUGCGAGUCGAGGGGCAGCAUGGUCUUAGCUUGCUAAGGCCGAUGGCGACCGGCGCACGGGUGAGUAACGCGUAUCCAACCUGCCUUACACUCUUGGACAGCCUUCUGAAAGGGAGAUUAAUACAAGAUGUUAUCAUGAGUAAGCAUUUUCGCAUGAUUAAAGGUUUACCGGUGUAAGAUGGGGAUGCGUUCCA
rnacentral:rRNA from 1 species